AAGGUGGGGACGACGUCAAGUCAUCAUGCCCCUUACGGCCUGGGCUACACACGUGCUACAAUGGUCGGUACAAAGGGUUGCCAAGCCGCGAGGUGGAGCUAAUCCCAUAAAACCGAUCGUAGUCCGGAUCGCAGUCUGCAACUCGACUGCGUGAAGUCGGAAUCGCUAGUAAUCGUGAAUCAGAAUGUCACGGUGAAUACGGUUCCCGGGCCUU
rnacentral:rRNA from 1 species